CCCAGAAUGCAUUUCGCACCAGCAAAAAAGAGACAACAAUGGCGGAGACAACUCACAACUGGACAACUGAGGAAACCCAGGCCCUCAUUGCCUGUAUGACUGGGUCAGGGAUGGAGACAGGGACUUUGUAACCACUUCUGACCUGGAAAUAACUGCCAAACAGGCCAAAAAGAAGUAGAACAACAACAAGUUUGCUGCAACAACCAGGGGCGGACUAAUGGAGUGCA